UCACUCUUCUCUUCUUCCAAACGUGAAGACCCAAGCUUAAGAUAUAAAACGUAAUUCUAUUCCAGAACAAUCGAAGAGUUAGGAUUGAAACAACGAAAGCGAGGCCAAGGUACAUAAAAGUAAGAAGAUCGAUCUUAAGAG